UGACCGCUAUGUCGAAGGCGCCGAUUAGUCGCCGAUUUUGGGUUGUUUCGUUUACGCACGCACUGCUAGUUUUUAAAUAACGAUUUAUACCUUUACUAACUCUGACCUAGAAGAGCGAUAGUGAAGCUAUUUUUAGGUGCUUAUCAUGGCUUAUGAUUAUCUCAUCUCUAUAUCUUAUCUUAUCUUAUAUAAUACAGCAUGUUGGAAUGGAUUUUUUGAAAGCCUUCAAAAUGAAACAUAUUUAGGCUUAUGAAUAAGAUUCUAAUGGGAAUAUUAAUGUUUCAGCUGUAGAAUAUGGAUAUAAAUAAUGAUUGGGGAUCGUCAUACCAUUUUAAGAUCCUGGGAUGUGAAAGACUUUGCACCAGACUUUCGUCAGUAUCUUUACCUCUUCCAUGCCGGCAAUAAAAUACAUCUGAAACUUGUUGGUGAGCCAUGGCAGCAGACGUAUAGAAGGCAUGCUGGGAAUGAAAUUCAUCACAUACAGCUGCAAAAAAGUGUUUUCAUUGGUAAUUAUGUGGGUUACACUUACCCACUAGCCUCUGCUGAUGCUCACCAAAGAAUGUUGAGUCAGAUAUUGAAGCCAGAGCUUUGUAUCUAAGUCAAAGACCACUAGUAUUUGACAGUGUUUACAGAGGACAAGAUGUCCCAGCUCAGUCCAAAAUUCAUAAAGACUGUGUCUCAGCGAAGCAUAAGAGUUGGUCUUGGAUUCAAACAGUCAAUGAAUUUUUAGGCAUUCAUAGUGAAAAUACUGCUAACUAUCAUCAGUUCUACCAUGAUGUUUGCCACCUGGAAGAAGACAUGCUUUCAUUCUUGCUUUGGAUGGACAGUUCAACAGCUAGAGCUCAAGUCAAGACUCAAGAUCCUGAUGUCAUGUUAAAACAUUUCAGAUUAAUAAACAAUUGUUGGACUAUCAGGGCUAGUUAGAUCUUCUCACAGAGCGAAGUUGAGAUAUUCACCCAGUUCAUCACCGCAAAGAACUGCCAGAAUGGAAUUUGAAGGCUAGAGCUCUUGUCCAAUAUCAGCACAAACAUGUGUCAUUAGCAAAAGGGGACUUUGUCAAGAUUUUGGAAAAUUCUGAUGCUGAAAGAUGGAAGAUGGAAUAGAAAGUGAAGUUCCUGCUAUUGUGUUGGUCAUUCCUUCCUGCUUCCAACAGAUUGAUAAAUUAAGAGAACAAAUCAAGGUCAAUAGUUCUAUUGCUGCUAAAAGAUUAAGGUCACAUUUGAUCCAGUUUUUAAGUGCUGCUAUUUCCCAGACACAGUCCAAAGAUUUAUGUUUUUCCUGCGGAAGAUGGUGAAUGAGGCAGCAGACAUCUUGAAAGGAGCUGAUUUCAAGUUCCUUCAACACUCUUUUCAUUUUAUUUAGGAAGAAGCUCAUCAGUCACUUCAAACCAGGUGAUGAUGGAGUCAUAAACAGUAGGAUACAGAGGUGAAACAAAACUGGAGCUUUAGUUUGUUUGUAGAACUUGGCAUCUACUCCAGACAUUAUUCUGAAGAACACUCAAGUAAAAGAAAAGAAGAAAUGUUAAAGGUUAAGGACUUGGGCUCCUAUCAUACUUACACUUCAAAAGCUUUAAUUUGAAAGGUCUUAUAUUUUUGUGGAAAUAAAUUUUACUAGUGGAGUUUUUGUAGCUGCCAGAGUGGAUCAAGGUGGAUGUGAUAUCUAUUUAUAAACAUGUAUACCAGUAUAUUGUAAUCAGUGAUUUUCAUUUUUUGGUAACAGUUUGUUUCCAUUUAGAUUGCAGUCUUUCUUAUGUGAAAACAAGAUGUCUGCAUAAUCUUAGAGGACAUUUUUAAACUCAUUUAAAUUUAUUAGAUGAAAUAUUUAUAAAACAUACAAUGUAAAUUGUUUUGUAAAAUGAUUAUACAUUUGAGUUCAUAAAAAUGUGUAAUUUUUUAAUGGCAUCAUGUUUCUGCUUAUCUGUAUCUGAUACUGAUGAUGUGUUUUCUAAAUCUAUUACUGCUUCACCAUUGAGGAAAAACUGCACAUGUUUAAACCCAUAUCUGAAGUAACUUUCCAGAAAAAAAAAAGAUGUAUGUUGGACAGUGUCCAAAAUUUCAAAUCAUUUCCUUCAAAAUGUUAUCAAUUUCCUCCAUAACUUCAUAACAUUAUUGAAUUUUUUCCUUCAGAACACAAUUGUAAAUUAUCUUUUUUUUUUUUUUUUUUUUGUUAAACCACAAUGAGAGUCUAAUAAUUAAUAGUCUAGCAAACAAUUACUUAUAAUUUGCCUUAUUAUUAUACAAUAUUAAGAUUUACUUCUGCAGGGAUGAAAAACUUUGUUUAAAAUACAAUAGACAUGUAUAAUAAUAAAGUACAUUCACACCUGACUCACUCAUAAUUUACAUGUGAAAAGUUUAUAUCAGAUUGUUUCUAUUUAAUGAUUUGAUUGCCAUCAGUGUCUUGUAUCUCUUUUGUGAUGGUAAAGUCACAAAAUGUAGGAAACCCCACUGUGUUUGGUCCAGUAUGUGGGUUAUUAUAUGUAAGUCUAUUGUAUUUUCUAUAUUAUUUUACAAAUGUAAAAAAAAUAAAAAGAAAUUGUUACACUGUU